rnacentral:rRNA from 1 species
GCUGGGUAGGGGAGCGUUCUGUAAGCCGCAGAAGGUGGCCUGUGAGGGCCGCUGGAGGUAUCAGAAGUGCGAAUGCUGACAUAAGUAACGAUAAAGCGGGUGAAAAGCCCGCUCGCCGGAAGACCAAGGGUUCCUGUCCAACGUUAAUCGGGGCAGGGUGAGUCGACCCCUAAGGCGAGGCCGAAAGGCGUAGUCGAUGGGAAGCAGGUUAAUAUUCCUGCACUUGGUGUUGCUGCGAAGGGGGGACGGAGAAGGCUAGGUUAUCCGGGCGACGGUUGUCCCGGUUUAAGCGUGCAGGUGUGAAGACCAGGCAAAUCCGGUCUUCUUUAACACUGAGGCGUGACGACGAGGCUCUACGGAGCUGAAGUAACUGAUGCCCUGCUUCCAGGAAAAGCCUCUAAGCUCCAGGCAACACGAAAUCGUACCCCAAACCGACACAGGUGGUCAGGUAGAGAAUACCAAGGCGCUUGAGAGAACUCGGGUGAAGGAACUAGGCAAAAUGGUGCCGUAACUUCGGGAGAAGGCACGCUGGCGCGUAGGUGGAGGGACUUGCUCCCCGAGCCGAGGCCAGUCGAAGAUACCAGCUGGCUGCAACUGUUUAUUAAAAACACAGCACUGUGCAAACACGAAAGUGGACGUAUACGGUGUGACGCCUGCCCGGUGCCGGAAGGUUAAUUGAUGGGGUUAUCCGCGAGGAGAAGCUCUUGAUCGAAGCCCCGGUAAACGGCGGCCGUAACUAUAACGGUCCUAAGGUAGCGAAAUUCCUUGUCGGGUAAGUUCCGACCUGCACGAAUGGCGUAAUGAUGGCCAGGCUGUCUCCACCCGAGACUCAGUGAAAUUGAAAUCGCUGUGAAGAUGCAGUGUACCCGCGGCAAGACGGAAAGACCCCGUGAACCUUUACUACAGCUUGACACUGAACAUUGAGCCUUGAUGUGUAGGAUAGGUGGGAGGCUUCGAAGCGCGGACGCCAGUCCGCGUGGAGCCAUCCUUGAAAUACCACCCUUUAACGUUUGAUGUUCUAACGUGGGCCCGUUAUCCGGGCUGCGGACAGUGUCUGGUGGGUAGUUUGACUGGGGCGGUCUCCUCCCAAAGCGUAACGGAGGAGCACGAAGGUUGGCUAAUCCUGGUCGGACAUCAGGAGGUUAGUGCAAUGGCAUAAGCCAGCUUGACUGCGAGAGUGACGGCUCGAGCAGGUGCGAAAGCAGGUCAUAGUGAUCCGGUGGUUCUGAAUGGAAGGGCCAUCGCUCAACGGAUAAAAGGUACUCCGGGGAUAACAGGCUGAUACCGCCCAAGAGUUCAUAUCGACGGCGGUGUUUGGCACCUCGAUGUCGGCUCAUCACAUCCUGGGGCUGAAGUAGGUCCCAAGGGUACGGCUGUUCGCCGUUUAAAGUGGUACGCGAGCUGGGUUUAGAACGUCGUGAGACAGUUCGGUCCCUAUCUGCCGUGGGCGCUGGAGAAUUGAGGGGGGUUGCUCCUAGUACGAGAGGACCGGAGUGAACGCACCGCUGGUGUUCGGGUUGUCACGCCAGUGGCACUGCCCGGUAGCUAAGUGCGGAAAAGAUAAGUGCUGAAAGCAUCUAAGCACGAAACUUGCCCCGAGAUGAGUUCUCCCUGGCUCCUCGAGAGCCCUGAAGGGACGUUGAAGACGACGACGUUGAUAGGCCGGGUGUGUAAGCGCAGCGAUGCGUUGAGCUAACCGGUACUAAUGACCCGUGAGGCUUAACCUUACAACGCCAGAGGCGUUUUG